rnacentral:rRNA from 1 species
UACGGGGGGUGCAAGCGUUGUUCGGAAUUACUGGGCGUAAAGGGCUCGUAGGCGGCCAACUAAGUCAGACGUGAAAUCCCUCGGCUUAACCGGGGAACUGCAUCUGAUACUGGAUGGCUUGAGUUCGGGAGAGGGAUGUGGAAUUCCAGGUGUAGCGGUGAAAUGCGUAGAUAUCGGAAGGAACACCUGUGGCGAAAGCGGCUCACUGGACCAUAACUGACGCUGAGGCACGAAAGCUAGGGGAGCAAACAGU